GAUGAACGCUAGCUACAGGCUUAACACAUGCAAGUCGAGGGGCAGCAUUUUAGUUUGCUUGCAAACUGAAGAUGGCGACCGGCGCACGGGUGAGUAACACGUAUCCAACCUGCCGAUAACUCCGGGAUAGCCUUUCGAAAGAAAGGUUAAUACCGGAUAGCAUACGAAUAUCGCAUGAUAUUUUUAUUAAAGAAUUUCGGUUAUCGAUGGGGAUGCGUUCCAUUAGUUUGUUGGCGGGGUAACGGCCCACCAAGACAACGAUGGAUAGGGGUUCUGAGAGGAAGGUCCCCCACAUUGGAACUGAGACACGGUCCAAACUCCUACGGGAGGCAGCAGUGAGGAAUAUUGGUCAAUGGGCGAGAGCCUGAACCAGCCAAGUAGCGUGAAGGAUGAAGGCUCUAUGGGUCGUAAACUUCUUUUAUAUGGGAAUAAAGUAUUCCACGUGUGGAAUUUUGUAUGUACCAUAUGAAUAAGGAUCGGCUAACUCCGUGCCAGCAGCCGCGGUAAUACGGAGGAUCCGAGCGUUAUCCGGAUUUAUUGGGUUUAAAGGGAGCGUAGGUGGAUUGUUAAGUCAGUUGUGAAAGUUUGCGGCUCAACCG
rnacentral:rRNA from 1 species